UACGUAGGGUGCGAGCGUUAAUCGGAAUUACUGGGCGUAAAGCGUGCGCAGGCGGUUCGUUGUGUCGGUGGUGAAAGCCCCGGGCUCAACCUGGGAAUGGCCAUGGAAACUGGCGAACUGGAGUGUGGCAGAGGGGGGUGGAAUUCCGCAUGUAGCAGUGAAAUGCGUAGAGAUGCGGAGGAACACCGAUGGCGAAGGCAGCCCCCCUGGGCUAGCACUGACGCUCAGGCACGAAAGCGUGGGAGCAAACAGG
rnacentral:rRNA from 1 species